rnacentral:rRNA from 1 species
ACGGGAGGCAGCAGUGGGGAAUAUUGGGCAAUGGGCGCAAGCCUGACCCAGCCACGCCGCGUGAAGGAUGAAGGUCUUCGGAUUGUAAACUUCUUUGAUCAGGGACGAAUAAAUGACGGUACCUGCAGAACAAGUCACGGCUAACUACGUGCCAGCAGCCGCGGUAAUACGUAGGUGACAAGCGUUAUCCGGAUUUACUGGGUGUAAAGGGCGUGUAGGCGGUUUGGCAAGUCAGAAGUGAAAUUCCCGGGCUUAACUUGGGCGCUGCUUCUGAAACUGCUUAACUUGAGUACUGGAGAGGAUAGUGGAAUUCCUAGUGUAGCGGUAAAAUGCACAGAUAUUAGGAGGAACACCGGUGGCGAAGGCGGCUAUCUGGACAGUAACUGACGCUGAGGCGCGAAAGCACGGGGAGCAAACAGGAUUAGAUACCCUGGUA